ACGCGAGUAAGGUGUCUCUGGAAAGAUCUAGCUGCACGGAAUCUAUAUCUGUUGACGUUAUCUUGUUUAGAGGUAAGAGCAAAUACUUAUUCGCGUUGCUUCGUGGACAAGAAUCAUCUUAAUCUGUCAAAACCAGAAACCCUAAUUCGGUUCGAACACAAAUGCAGUUUCAGAUCACCAGAAUAGAGUGUCAACCCGCUAGUUUCAGAAUCCACUUUCAACCUUAAGGCAAAGGUGAGGGUGCGAUCUGUGGAUUCU
rnacentral:lncRNA from 1 species